UAGUGUGCUGGGGAGGUAUAAUCUUACGCCUCACCUGUUGUUUCCUACGUCAAAACGUGGUGUGGCGAUGUAAUCUUACCACCCAUCCAUUUCUUGUGCGUCAAAACGUGGGGUGUGGGAAGGUAUUUCUUAUGGACUCGGGAGGGCUUGGCACAAAUUCUGCCUGGGGUGAGGAAUAGCCAUUCUUCACCCUCUGAUGAAUAGUCGAUAUUAUCGAAAGGUAAAAUGUUUGAGACACCUAGGUUUCUGGGCACCCAGGCCUAUUAUGGCAAGCCAUUUUCAUUAAUGCAUUGCCUGCAUUUAAUGAAAUAGUACAUUUCCUUUUUUUGUUUGCAUGCAUUAACACCUCUCAAUACCUAAUGAUUGCUUUCUAAAAAAAAUAUGUUGAUUUUCCAGCAAUAAUCUCUUUCCAAAUAUUAUGUUCAUGUAUGAUACCUAAUGAAAAUGUACACGUAAGUAUAGUCAAAAAAUGUACACGUAAGUAGGCUAUUAUAUCUAAUAAAAAUAUACACAUACCAUAAAUAUGACUUAAGAAAAAACAUACAUAUAUCCAUGUUAUUAUAUGUACUAAGAACAUAUACAUACCCGAGGUAUUAUACUAAAUAAAAAUAUACCUUCAGUAUCUCAAAC
rnacentral:lncRNA from 1 species